GUCUACGGCCAUACCACCCUGAAUAAGCCAGAUCCCAUCUGAUCUCAGAAGCUAAGUGGGGUUGGGCCUGGUUAGUACUUGGAAGGGAGACCACCUAGGAAGACCAGGUGCUGUAGGCA
rnacentral:rRNA from 1 species